UGGUGGUGGUGGUUGUGGGCUUUUCCGGUGACUAGCGGAUGGGGUGGUACUGGGCAGACACUCUUCUAGGCGGCAGCUUCCGCAAAAUGUACAAGACGAGAGCUGAAGGAAGAAUCUCGACCAGCUGUUUUAUUUCAAAUUAAAAUAUAUAUUAGAACUCGGGCGGAUAUGUAAUAACUAACAAGUAACACAAAACCGACACAUGCUUAAAGACAGAGAUGUUGAUGAUUACCGUGUAGUAGAUGAAGUUCAAAACCGGGUGGUCAAUUACGUACAGUGAUGCAUCUGAAUCAAAAGCUGACAGCCCGACCUGUAGUAAAAUGACGAUUAUUACGCAUGGAAUGGAACGACGCAAGUUAAUACACUAUUGUAAGAAAAUUAAAAUAGCGAAGAAAAAUAAAAUAAAAUCCAAGGACAAUUUUAAUUAAAACCUUACCACGAAGCACCUUAUAAGAAAACAGGUGAAGCAUAUAGCUGUCACAGAUCCAACCUGUGAACGAAAUCUCGUUAGUCGAUAUGGAUAAAUUUAGGAAACAAAUAAAACGAUAAAUCGGAGAAAACCUCGUGAAGUUUCUUUCUCCUCCCUUUAGAUUCAAUGGGGAAGCGUCUCAGCAUGAAAAACAAUCUGGACGAAAGAAGAAAGAAAAUAAAAUUAAUAUUGCUUUAAUUUAUUAUAAUUGUAUUAUUAAUAUUGCUCGAAAUGAUCAAAUGCUUACCUUCCUCCAUAUAGCAAAAACCCUAAUGCAGCUACGAAGGAUACAACUGCGGAGAAAAAAAAAAUAACGAAGGCUGAAUUCUUUGAGUGAAGGUAAAUUUAAAAUGAAUACAAAGUGGAGAGAUAUUUACCUGCAAUAAAUAUCUUUCCGACAAAUUCAGCAACACUGUUAUCGUUUACCCAGAGGUACACCCAGAUGCAGACCUAAUGUGAACACAUCUUUUCUCGUUAAAUUUAACCAACAAAAAAAACGCGCCACUAAUAUUUAGAUAACGAUCCUACACAACUUUUUACAGGAAGAAAUGAGUACUUAUAUAUGGGCCAAAAGAAAUACAACUCAAAAGGUAUAUAUGAAUAUAAGGAAAUAUAUUAGAAACGAACCUGUAUGAAGUAAACUACAGCAUUGACAGCAAUGUAGAAUAUUCUCAGUUUAUCGGUCGGCAAACUUCUAGCCUGAUCAACGAAUAGAAUGAAAACUCAGUGAUUCGUUAUAUGAAAUAGACGUUUGUUGGAAAUGACAGCUGUUACAUUUCGGUUAGACGAUUAUUUUCUUUUUAAAUAUCUGAUUAUACCUGGUGAUAUAUUUCGGCCCAGAAAAGGACAAGAAGUGUGUACGUAGAAAAGAACAGCAGGCCCGGAAGAUCCAGAAGUACCAACGUCAGGGCCUGGUUAUUGAAAGAUAAAGAAUAUAGUUUAAAUAAUAAUUAAAAAAAAAAACACGGGAAAACAUAAUUUCUAAAUUAAGUCUCUUUCCGCUUAUAUACACAACUCAAAGAGGCUUCUUAGAACAAAUAUUCUUCAACAUCAAGAUUCGUGCAAGCCCAAACCUACUAGAGCGUACGAGAAAAAAGCGGCAAGGGAAAUAAAGAACAAAGAGACAAAGAGUGAAUUUAGGCCUCGUUUGGUUGCCAAUAUAGGAUUAGCCAAGAUAAAGAUGAAAUAAUCUAAUCAAAACCCAAAAUGAUCCCUAAAAGGCAUGAUAACAUAAUAUUUUUCGGGUCGACCCGGGAAGUUAUUGGGUUUAGUAGUUUACGAAACAUCAAACAAAGUCCUAUUAUUUAGUUAAUCAUGGCUAAUCUCCCCAACCAAACGAGGCCUUAAUCUAUUAAUUAGAAUACACAGUUGGCAAGGUGACUCUUACCUUAGGAUGGAAGAGAAAUACGUGCAUAUGAAAUCCAAACAAAACGGCACGCACUGCAAUUGAGUAGCUUAACGAUUAAUGCAAUGGAUGGAAAUUAGAAAUAUAAAUAUUUAAUAGUCAAGAAGUUCUUAUAGGAACCUCCAUUCACAACGAAGUUCAUCAGGUGGAAGACUUUCUGAGUAGUCCAUCCGUACUCGGGCACCCUCAGUUCAAUACGUAUCAAUUGAAUCUGCAGGAAAUAAACAAGUUCUCAAAAAACUGUUCGAUUCGAUGAUGUAAUAACAUCAUCAAAAAACGGAGUUAAAACACGAGACGCCGAGUUUAAUUAUCUAAUUGAAAAAAAAAAACACACACACAUACAGCUGAAUAUCUAAUUCACAGAGAGCAUAUCUCUAAUCAAAGUUUCCAGUUUAUGAUUCUAUUGUUAAGAAUAUUCACAUAUAUAAAUCAGUAAUAACCAAUUCACUAACUCACUGAGUCAAUAAAUUAAAUUAAUUAAAUAAUAAUAAUAAUAAUAAAUCAGUUGCCCAGCUCAUGAUAAGCAGAAUACCCAGAGAUGCAUACUAAAAUCAAAUCGAGAGAACAAUUAAAAAUCGAAAGGUGUUUGAAUAAUCGAACUCACAAGGGCGACGGAGGAAACGAGGGCGUAAACGGCGCAGAGAGAGAAGAAUAUUCCGUCUUGCCAUUUAACGGAGUCGUUAACCUCGUCCCACCAGCCGGCCGACAGUACUCCGGCUCCUCCGUCAGUCGCCGGAAAGCCGAAUAAAAUUCUCGCCAUCGCAGCUCAGCUAGGUAUAGCUAAUCCCUCCCCCCUCUCCUUUUUCCCCUUUCUUCGUUAAUUAUUAAAAAAAAAAAAAAGGAAAAAAUACAAAAAACUGAUUAGCUGUUGAAUACCACUUAAUACAGUAUUAUUAAUUAGCAAUCAGAGCAGGAGAUCAAAUCGAAGAUGAGAGAGGGGAGAGCAAAACCUGCACACAGAAAAACGUGCAGGAUUUUUACAUUAAACAAACGUAGAGAGAGAAAGAAGAGAGAGGAGAGAGAGAGAGAGAGAGAGAGGAGUCUUAGGUCGUACUGAGGUCGGAGGAGAUAGAAUAGUUUGAAGGGCUUUUUCGUAAUUUUACCGGAACAGAUAGAAUAGUUUGAAGGGCUUUUCUGUAAUUCUUGUGGAACAGAUAGAAUAGUUUGAAGGGCUUUUCUGUAAUUUCUCUAGAAUUUGUCAUUGUCGAAAUAUUUUGGUUUAUGCUUUUUAUUAUUCAACUUUGUCUGGCCGGAGCCUUUUUUUGUCUGAGAAUUAAAUAAUUGAGGGUAAAAUAUUAAAAUGGCAUUUGUUAAUAAAUAAUUAUUAUGUUGUAUUUUUAUAUUGUAAAAUAAAUCUGGUAUUAUAUUUCAGUCCCAUAUUCGAGAAGUCGUAGACGAGAAUAAAAAAUUAGGCUUUUUUAUAUUUUUAAUAUGAAAUCUAUAAAAUAAUAUAAUAUUUAAUUACUUAAGUAAUUAGGCAACAUAUAAAGUAGAUUGUUGGGCAUAUUUACAAAUUACGUUGAUAUAAAUUAAUUAGAUCGAAUUUUCAAGUCUGAAAAGAAGGCCCAAAAAUUACUAAUAAAUGGUUCUAAAAAAAUAAAAUAAAAGAUACAUGAGGACUAUAAGCAUUUGGAGGCCCUUAAAAAUGUCAUUUUUUAGGCCCGAUGGGUAAUAACUUUUGAGCCUUACUAUUGGGCUUAUAUGUUUGUUAAUAUCAUAUAUAUAUAUACGUUAUUGUACAAAUGAAUAUCAUCAAGGGAUCCGUGGCGCAAUGGUAGCGCGUCUGACUCCAGAUCAGAAGGUUGCGUGUUCGAUUCACGUCGGGUUCAAUACCCCCGAUCAAAUUCCCUUAUUCUCUUUUAAUUUUUAAUUUUUUUUUUUAUUUCCAGCUGUUUCCUCUAACACUAAUUUCUAGCAUUUUUGAAUUAUUUUUAUGUUUUAUUUCCUCACGUUCAAACCUUCUUUUUUUCUCCUCCUCUGUACACUAUCUUUCUCGUCUGUAAACCCUAAUUCCCAAAUCCAAACCCUAAUUCACACUCCCGUCGCAGUACCGCCGAACAACAAUGGCGUUCCGCAGCAAAAUCCGACUCCUGACACUCCAACGCAAUCGCCCAUUUUCCUCUUCAAUCCUGAGCCCGGACUCCAAAACCCCACUCAGCAGCAAAGAGAAGUCACGCGCCGCCCUCUCCCUCCUCCGAUUCGAAAAGAAUCCGGAACGAAUCCUCGAUAUCUGCCGAGCCGCUUCCCUCACCCCCGACUCACAUCUGGACCGUGUCGCCUACUCCAUGGCCAUGUCCAAGCUCAAAGAAUCCAACUACUACGAGGGCAUUCGUGGCUUCAUCAAAGAUUCCCUGAACCGCCCGGAUUUUAGGUCUGAGCGCUCUGUUUCUCAUUUGAUCGUUCUCUACGGCCAGGCGGGUCUUGUCAAGGACGCCAUCAACCUGUUCGACGAAAUGCCCAAGUUGGGUAUUCAGACCAGCGUCAAAGCUCUGAACUCGCUGCUGUUCUCCUGCGCUAUAGCUGGUGAAUACGGCGAAAUGAAGAGGGUUUUUUCGGAUUUCCCGAGAAAGUACGGUUUGGAGCCGGAUUUGGACACUUACAACACUGUGUUGAAGGGCUUGUCUGAAUCAGGUAGUGCGAACUCAGCCCACUCCAUACUAGCCGAGAUGGAGAGGAAGGGUAUAAAGCCUAACGCAGCGACUUUUUCUGUUGUGAUUGCUGGUUUCUACAAGGAGGAAAAAAUCGGUGAUGUGGAGAAGAUGAUUGGUCUGAUGAAGAAACACGGAGUCCAGAGAGGGAUCGGUGUUUACAACGUUAUGAUGCAGAGCUUGUGUAAGCUGAAAAGGUCAAAUGAGGCGAAGGCGUUGUUGGAUGAGAUUCUGUCGAAAAAAAUGAAGCCCAACUGUGUAACGUACGGCCAUUUGAUUUACGGGUUCUGUAAAGAAGGAAAAUUGGAUGUGGCCAAGAGUUUGUUCGAGGAGAUGGUUAAUCGGAAGUUGAAGCCAGAGGCGGAGUGUUAUUUUACGAUGGUUUACUAUUUAUGUCAAGGGCAUGAGUUUGAUGUUGCCUUAACCAUAUGUAAGGAUUCUAUGUCGAAGGGUUGGAUUCCGAACAUAACAACAAUGAAGUCUCUUGUGAAUGGACUGGUUAGUGUUGAGAAAGUUGACGAGGCGAAGGAAAUUAUCGCAGUGAUGAAGGAGAAGUUCUCUAGGAAUGCCGAUAAAUGGAUCGAGAUUGAGGAGGGAUUAGGUAAAGUAGUUGAGAGUACCUAACCAUGGUAUUACUGAUUUAUCUUUUGUUACGCAGUUUCGUGUCUGUAAUAAGACCGGCCAUGUCAGCAAGAAUGAUGCUCCCGAUGAAUUUGUUUUUUUUUUUUUUGCUGAAUUUGUUUCUUUAGUUUGAUGCUCCUUAAUGUUGGUUUUGGAAAGUUGAUAGUUUGUUGUCGUGCGUUUUCAUUUGCAUUUGGAGUAAUUCAUAAAGAUCGAUCAAUCUCCUAUAAUUUUGUCGGUGCGUUUUGUUUCUGAUUUGCGUACUUUGGUUGAAUAGUUUGAGGUUGUACUUCUUAUUCUUCAAAGAUUUUGUCAUCCUAACCACAGUUAUCCUCUAUCUUUCCAGUUCAGUGAUGAAGUAUUGUAUUUUUUUGCCUUUGUGCAGUAAAAUUUAAAAAAAUAUCUGCAAGACUUGUCCGAGUUGGAAAAAUUCAAACUUGCCCAGAGCAGAGAAGCUGAUUAAUUGCUAUUUGUAAGAUAAUUAAACAUCAGGGAUCCGUGGCGCAAUGGUAGCGCGUCUGACUCCAGAUCAGAAGGUUGCGUGUUCGAUUCACGUCGGGUUCAAAACUCCCGAUCUAAAAUUCCCUAUUCUGUUUUUUUAAUUUUUAAUUUUCGUGCUAUUUUCUGUAAAAGAAAAUUAGCGAAAUUAAAAUUACUUUCCACUUUUCUAUUUCUUUUUUUCGUCUGUAAACCAAAAUCCCCAAAUCCAAAUCCAAAACCCUAAUUCACUGUCUGGCAGAACCACCGAACAACAAUGGCGUUCCGCAGCAAGCUCCGAUUACUUACACUCCAACGCAACCGCCCAUUUUCCUCUUCAAUUCUGAACCCGGACUCCAAAACCCCACCACUCAGCAGGAAAGAGAAAUCUCGAGCCGCGCUCUCUGCGCUCUCCCUCCUCCGGUUAGAAACGAAUCCGGAACGAAUCGUCGAUAUCUGCCGAGCCACCUCACUCACCCACGGCACGCACCUGUAUCGUGACGCCUACUCCGUCGCCAUUUCCAAGCUCAAAAAAUCCAACAACUACGGCGGCAUUCGUACCAUCAUCAAAAACUCCUUAUCCCGUACAGAUUGCAGAUCUGAGCUCUCCGUUUCUCAUUUGAUCGUUCUCUACGGCCAGGCGGGUCUUAUCAAGGACGCUCUCCAACUGUUCGACGAAAUGCCAAGCUUAGGCAUUCAGAUCGGUGUGAAAGCUUUGAACUCGCUGCUGUUCUCCUGCAUUAUAGCUGGAGAAUACAGCGAAAUGAAGAGGGUUUUUUCGGAUUUUCCGGGAAAGUACGGUUUGGAGCCGAAUGUGGACACUUACAACACUGUGUUGAAGGGCUUGUGUGAAUCGGGUAGUGCGGAUUCGGCCCACUCUAUACUGGCGGAGAUGGAGAGCAAAGGUAUAAAUCCCGACGCGAAGACGUUUUCUGUUGCGAUUGCUGGUUUCUACAAGGAGGAGAAAUUCGACGAUGUCGAAAAAAUGAUUGUUUCGAUGAAGAAAUACGGAGUGGAAAAAGGGAUCGGUAUUUACAACGUUAUGAUGCAGAGCUUGUGUAAGCUGAAAAGGUCGAAUGAGGCGAAGGCGUUAUUGGACGAGAUUCUGUUGAAAAAUAUGACGCCGAACUCUGUGACGUACGGCCAUUUGAUUCACGGGUUUUGUAAAGAAGGAAAAUUGGAUGUGGCCAAGAGUUUGUUCGAGGAGAUGAUUAGUAGAGAAUUGAAGCCACAGGCCGAGUGUUAUUUUACGAUGGUUUAUUAUUUAUGUAAAGGGAAUGAUUUUGAGGUUGCCUUAACCAUAUGUAAGGAAUCUAUGUCGAAGGGUUGGAUUCCGAAUAUGACGACAAUGAGGUGUCUUGUGAGUGGACUGAUUAGUGUUGAGAAAGUCGACGAGGCGAAGGAAAUUAUUGCAGUGAUGAAGGACAAGUUCUCUAGGAAUGUCGAUCCGUGGAUUGAGAUUGAGGAAGGAUUACCUAAGUAGUCGAGUGCUGAUUUAUCUUUUGUUUAUAUCGUAUCGUGUUUGUAGUAACUCUGCGAUGAAGAGUUCGGCGUUGGUUGGACUUUUGUUCUUGAAAUGAAGCUGUGUUAAUAAACAUGUCAUGUAUGCAUGAUCUUUUUAAUCUUUAUUAUAUAUAUAUAUAUAUAUAUAUAUAUAUAUAAGGAAAGAUCAGUAUAAAUAGGCAGCUGAUUUGUGCUAGGUUUAGUCGACUUCUCCAUCGAGAUUCUGAACUGUGUUUCGAAGCUUAAAUUCUCGAAGCUUAUUCUUGUUUGAGCUUCUCGAAUUGCUUCGUUUAUCCGUAAUUUCUUUGGAGUUUAUAUAUAUAUAUAUAUACAACAACGAAAGAUAUAUCUUUCGUUGUUGAAUUAUAUCUUGUUCACUAUCUAUAAUCGUUUUAGACCGUUGCAAGCUCCCGGGAAAGGGUGGCGACGACGACAGAGAGAUUAUGCGGUUGGCGAGGGAAGAAGAUACAAGGGUUUCACAAUUUUGGUAAUAAGCGAGUAAGGACAAAUUACGUAUACUGAAUAGUAACUUGUUAAACGUUUAAAUUAAUUAAAUUUGAGGGUUUUACUAAUAAAGCAAAAAGAGUUGGAGCUAAACAGCAGUAUUUCCAAUGUUUUGGGGGUUUUUUCGCUAAUGAUCAUAUUUAAAAGUACUUUCAAAUUUAUUUUUAUUUAUUUUUUACUCUACACUUGCCUUUCUCGUCUGUCAACCCAAAACCCCCAAAUCUAAAACCCUAAUACACUCCGUCGGAGAACCACCGAACAACAAUGGCGUUCCGCAGCAAGCUCCGAUUACUGACGCUCCAACGCAACCGCCCAUUUUCCUCUUCAAUUCUGAGCCCGGAAUCCAAAACCGCACUCAGCAGCAAAGAGAAAUCACGCGCCGCGCUCUCCCUCCUCCGGUUCGAAAAGGAACCGGAACGAAUCGUCGAUAUCUGCCGAGCCGCCUCCUUCACUCCCGACUCGCAUCUGGACCGUGCCGCCUACUCCGUAGCCAUUUCCAAGCUCCAGAAAUCGAAUGACUACGAAAGCAUUCGUAGCAUCAUCAGAGACUCAUUAUCCCGGCCGGAUUUCAGGUCCGAGCGCUCCGUUUCGCAUUUGAUCGUUCUCUACGGCCAGGCCGGUCUAGUCGAGGACGCCAUCAACCUGUUCGACGAAAUGCCUGACUUGGGUAUUCAGGCCAGCGUGAAAGCCUUGAACUCGCUGCUGUUCUCCUGCGCUAUAGCUGGGGAAUACGGCGAAAUGAAGAGGGUUUUUUCGGAAUUUCCGAGAAAGUACGGUUUGGAGCCGAAUCUGGACACUUACAACACUUUAUUGAAGGGCUUGUGUGAAUCGGGCAGCGCGAAUUCGGCCCACUCUAUACUGGCUGAGAUGGAGAGCAAAGGUAUAAAGCCUGAUGCAAAGACGUUUUCUGUUGCGAUUGCAGGUUUCUACAAGGAGGAGAAAUUUGAUGAUGUUGAAAAAAUGAUUGUUUUGAUGAAGAAAUAUGGAGUGCAAAAGGGGAUCGGUGUUUAUAAUGUCAUGAUACAGAGCUUGUGUAAGCUGAAAAGGUCAAAUGAGGCGAAGGCGUUGUUGGAUGAGAUUCUGUCGAGAAAUAUGAAACCAAACUGUGUAUCGUAUGCCCAUUUGAUUACUGGGUUCUGCAAAGAAGGAAAAUUGGAUGUGGCUAAGGUUUUGUUCGAGGAGAUGGUUCGUAGGGAGUUGAAGCCAGAUGCAGAUUGUUAUUUUACGAUGGUUCAUUAUUUAUGUAAAGGACAUGAUUUCGAGGUUGCCUUGGGUAUAUGUAAGCAAUGUAUGUCGAAGGGUUGGAUUCCGAAUAUAACGACAAUGAAGUCUCUUGUGAAUGGACUGGUUAGUGUUGAGAAAGUUGACGAGGCGAAGGAAAUUAUCGCAGUGAUGAAGGAGAAGUUCUCUAGAAAUGCCGAUAAAUGGAUCGAGAUUGAGGAAGGAUUGCCUAAGUAGUUGUGUACUCGACAUGGUAUUACUGGUUUAUCUUUCGUUAUUAUGCCGUAUCAUGUUUGUAAUAAGUGCCUUGUCAGCAAGAUUGGUUUUUUCUUCUCUUUCUGAGAUGCUCAUUUAAAUUGGUUUCGGAAAAUACUGCAGUUUUGUAUGCGUUUGAAGUAAUUCAUAUAGAUCGUGGUUCUAUGAUUUUGUAGGUGAUUCUUGUUUCUCAUCUGCAUACUUGUUCUUAGCUGUUCCCCGUCUAAUGGUUCGAGGUUUUACUGCUUAUUAUUAGAUCAAAGAUUUUGUUCUCAUAAUGCAGUAACUUUUUAUUGCAUCGAAGCAAAGAUCGGUUGUUGACUUUUUGUUCUUGAAUUGAAGGUGUUUCUCUUCAUCUGUUGGAGUUGAAGAUCCAAAUGAAGCUGUGUUAACAAACAUGUCACGUAUGUAUGAAUUAUGAUGAUGCUUUCUUAAUUGAAUAUUAAUUUCCAGCUCUUUUUUAAUCUUGUUUUAUAUAUAUAUAAUUAAUAUUUAUUAAUAAUAAUAAAAUAAUAAGAAAAAUGAAGUAUUUUAGGCCAGGUGAUUGGGUUAUAGAAUUACAGGUAAAUAGGUCAGAUAUAUAAGCAAUUAGAAGUGGAAUAAAAUAUUAUACCAUUUAUCCUAAAAAUCCAAAACGUGGUUUCUUGUCAUUAAGAUGCCUAAAACUAGUUGUUCGCAUGAUGACUGGGCCCGGCCCGCUUUCAUCUUCUUAAAAUCAUCAUUAACCAAUUCAAAUCAAAAUUGAUUAUUUUCAACUGCUCCUCCUUUUCAGGCCAAUCUGUACACAUUUCAUCAAUGAUCAAUUAUUAUUCCAUCUUUUCCCUUUUCUUUUCCAAGUAUUCGAUUUUGGUCGAUCAUAAAUGUUAUGCAUGAAGACGAAAGGGGAUCAAAUUCUGGGAUGAUUCUUGAAAUUCGAGGGCCAACAGUUUCAGACGUUAUCGAACGACGAAGAAGAUGAGGUUCCCUAGUUGUUGCAGGAUUCCACGCACCGACACAAUGAGGAAGAAGGGUUCUUCCCUCAAAGCUUCGAAAAGUUCCGUCCAUGAAAUUAAGGAAGCCAAGAAAUACGAUAAUGCAGAGGCAUUAUCCGUAAUUGCCAGAAGUGUGUCUAUGAAUGCCGGUUAGGUUUUGACAUUUCGUUAAUGCUGUUUACAUUUUUCUUGUUCCGAGAUUUGUCUUUUUGACAUUCUUGAAAUAAUCUUAUUCUCGAUAAAAUUGGCUUCUUGAUUUAGCACCUAAUUAUAAUCCGCGGCCUACAAUUAUUAUAUUUGCGUCAAUCUUGUGAUCAGAUUAAUAUUUACACAGGUGGAAGUAAACAAAAGAUAAUAGCAGAAGAUAUCGUUAAUCACGGUGUACGAGCGCCGGCAGAGAUUUUCACAUUCCGAGAACUGGCAAACGCGACCGAAAACUUCAACCCCGCAUUGCUAGUGGGCGAAGGUGGAUUCGGGAGGGUCUACAAAGGACACCUCAAGAAAACCAAUCAAGUAUACAUACAUAUAUGUUUGCAUUACUCUUAUAAUAGUUUGCAUUCAGACAAUUUAUCUUUAAUAUUGUUUUUUUGGGGUUUCUAGAUAGUGGCGGUGAAGCAGUUGGAUCGAAACGGGGUUCAAGGAAACAGGGAAUUCCUGGCGGAGGUGUUGACUUUGAGCUUAGCUCAUCAUCCGAAUCUCGUUAAUUUGAUCGGAUACUGUGCUGAUGGACGACAGAGGAUAUUGGUGUACGAGUACAUGCAUCAGGGCUCUUUAGAAGAUCACCUCUUAGGUAAAAUAUUCUAACAUUGCUUACUGUUAGAAUAGAAAAGUAGACGAAAAAAAAUUGGGAUUCAAUCUGACAUGGGAUUCAAUCUAACAUUGCUUACUAGAAUCGAUUCAUAUUCUAAGAUUAUAACAUGGGAUUCGUGUUUUCUUGAUGGUUCUUGUAAUGUAUAUAGUAGUAACAUUCUUUUUUCUCAGAUUUACCACCGAUGAAAAAGCCCCUCGAUUGGUACACUAGGAUGCAAAUAGCUAGAGGUGCGGCAAAAGGGCUCGAGUAUUUGCACGAUACAGCGAAUCCGCCAAUUAUAUUCCGUGAUUUCAAGGCGUCCAACAUACUAUUGGACGAUGGGUUCAAUCCAAAGUUGUCUGAUUUCGGGCUUGCUAGAUUGGGCCCCACAGGGGAACAAGAUCAUGUCUCGACGAGGGUGAUGGGUACCUACGGCUACUGCGCGCCCGAGUACGCUCAGACGGGCAAACUCACGACAAAGUCUGACGUGUACAGUUUCGGAGUGGUGUUUCUCGAGAUUAUCUCGGGAAGAAGAGUUAUAGAUAGCACAAAGCCGCCCGAAGAGGAGAAUCUAGUCGAUUGGGUUAGUUAACAUAUUGUAUUAGUAUAUAUGAGUUUAUUGCAUUUAGUACCCCCCGCGCUAUACCAAAUUGCUAAAAACCUCUCCGUGUUAUAAAUAAUAGCGUAAACCUCUCUAUGAUGAAUUGUUUUAGCAAAUAAUCCCCUAAAUGGUGCGUUUUUUCUUUUUAGGGGUACUUUGCUAAUAAAAUUGGAUCGUAGAGGGGUUUAUGUUAUUAUUAAUAACACGGAAUGUUUUUCUUACAAUUAGAAUAAACACAAAAUGGCGGGUUUUUAGGGGGUAAUUUGCUGAAAAAAUUGCUUCGUAAGGGGGUGUUUGCUGAUAUUUAAUAGAGGGGGAAGUUUUUUAGCAAUUACAGUAAACACAUGGGUGCUACAUGCAAUAAACUCGACAACGUUGAUCUUCUUAAUUAAAAAUAAAUAAAUUUUACCAUGUCUCGUUUUUCAGGCGAAACCUCUUUUUAAGGACAGGGGAAAGUUCGAAUUAAUGGCUGAUCCAUUGCUCGAAGGGAAGUACCCAAUGAAAGGUUUGAGUCAAGCGCUUGCAGUUGCGGCAAUGUGUCUUCAAGAGGAAGCCGGGACCCGCCCCUUGAUCGGAGAUGUGGUAACUGCACUUGAGUAUCUGUCUAUUACAGAAGAAGUUGUUAAUUGUGAAACAGAUGUGUAAUGAUAUAUAUGUGUGUGUGUGUAUAUAUAUUUUAUAAAUCGAUUCUUCGUCGUGUGUCCUGUCGUUAGCAAAAAGAAUGGAGAGUGUUUGGAGAUUCUGUAACGAAAUUGGUUUGAAAAAUUUUGUUUGGUUUCUUUAGGAAAUUCUUUGUUGUAAAAUCAUUGGAAUUUUGCCCCUUUCGGGUUUGUUCUAUAAGUUAUGCCCGAUGAAUUUCACUCGAUUAUAAUUCUAUUAUAACUUAUACGCGUGCAUAGAUUCAUACAUAUUUUGUGUGAUUCCGAUAUAGGACCCUUUUUAAUGUUUAGUGAGACAAUUAAAUUGCUAGAAGAAAAUAUUUACUAUUAAUUAAACAACUUUUAACAUACUAAAAAAAAUGUAUAAUUAAAUAAUAAAAAAUCCAUAGACUCUAUAUUAGUUAUUAGGGUAAGGUACUAAAACGAGUGGCUAGAAAUUGAAAAAGAAAAUUAUUACUCACUAGAUCUCUGUCAUAUUAUUUAUUGUGGAACAUAGUUCAAGAAACUAAUAUAUCACAUUAUAUAAUAUCUUGUCAAAAAAAAAAAAAAAAAAAAACUCAAAAUUAAGGGAAAAAAAAAGACUUGUACCAUAUGUGCAUUGAUUCUAUGAAAACCCUAAUAAAAUGACUGCAAUAACCUCACACGUUAAUUAUUUUUACAUUGAUUAUCUCUUAAUAAAUUAAGACUAACGAGGGCAAAAUUGAGAAAAAGUAUGAUAAAUGCUUCUUUGAAAAUACUUAAUUACUUAUUAGGCAUUGGACUAUGAGAUUUCCUGUUUUCAUUUUUAUGCAAAAGAGACAAAUAAAAUGAUGCAAAAUAGGUGAUUUGUUCCACUUUUAAGCAGUACUUAAGGAUACAAGAAAAACAAGCAAAAAUAGAAAAUAAUAAAUAAAUAGAUAAAUAAAUGAAUAAAGUGGCAAGUGUGUGAUUUGGUGAAGGUAGGUGUGCCACAAACUAUGUUGUAAAUGGUCAUUGAAUAACCAAUGGGCCACAAGUCCACGGAAUGGGCAUUUUACCCAACUCUCUCUGCUGAUCUCUCUUUCUCUCUCUUCAUUUACAUUCAAUUCAAUUGGUUGUUUUGAUUCAGAUAUUGUGUCCCAUGCCACAAUAUAUAUACAUACAUACAUGUAUACACGUAUUAACCGAAAUGUUAAAAGUCGUUUCAAUUUUAAUAAUACCGUCUUGAUUUCGAACAUGAUUUCGAGUAAUUUUUAGUUAGAUUUGGGCAACAAACUGCAGUCUUUUGAGUUAGCUUUCUAAUUCAGUUUGAAUCAGUUGGAUUGGAUAUCGUACGACAAAGUUAUUCAUGAAUGAGUUACAUUUUGAAUUUUAGAUGUCGUACAACAAAUUCCGUGUUUCGAAUUUUGCCAAAUUCAGCAUAAAAACUGGGUAAACUCACGUUUGAAGUCGAAACAAUAUUAUUUAAAACGACAUUUAUCAUACCCCACAUAUUAAUUACAUAUAUCACUAAAACAAAAUUACAUAUAUAUAAACUCAUUUACUUAAUAGAAAAUGCUAUAAAUUAUUUCAAGAAAAGAUUCAAUAUAGUGAAAGUUACAUAAAUAUAAAAAAUAAUAAUAUUAUAUUAUAUAUAUAUUGAGCUUAGAACAAAUUAAGCACUUUUACAUACAGAAAUAUCAGAUUUAACAAAAGAAAAAUACUAAAAAAAACACACUUUAAAUAUUUGUUUAAAUUAAGCAGAAAAGAUAAAAUAAAAAUAAAAAGCUAUAUUAAAAUUAAACAGAUCAAAGUAUAUAUAUAAUAAUAGCAUUCAAUAUACUGCGAUAGGGGUUCACGUGGAAUUGCUCAGACGGGCCGGGCCGGGCCGCACCAAAGAAAUAAUUCAAAUAUUUGUCCGGGCCAGAAUUACUGCUUUCAGUGGAUCCUUCAUGACAACAGUGAAUGCAAAAGUCUCAGCCGGGUCGGGCGGGCAACCCGGAAUGGGGAUCCAUUUGAAAGCCUGGACCAGCUUCGCCAGCAUGAGGUUCACAUGCAGCGUACCCAAACUCCACGCCGGGCAUAUUCUCCGGCCAGCCCCGAACGGCAGCAUCUUCACCCCCCUCAUUCCGGUGAUGUCAACCUCUACUCCGUCGCCGGUGAGGAAUCUCUCCGGCCGGAAUUCGCUAGGGUUCUCCCACAUCUCCGGGUUCUCCGUCAGCCACGCUGUGUAGAACUCCACGUUCACGUCCGCCGGAAUUUUGUACCCGCCCAGCUCGAUUUCUUCCGUGGCUGCGCGUGUGUUGCACGGAAAAACAUUCUUUAGAACAAGAAGGAUAAAUAUAUGUAUAAUAGUGUAAAUUACAAACACCACCCUGAGGUAUCGUCAAAUUACGAAAAAACCCCUCAUAUUUGGAUAAUUACAAGUUACAACUACCUCCCUCAACUAUGAAUAUUCUUAGUUCUUACACAUCCACGCUUAUGGUGUCAAAUUCAACAUAUUUUUCUAAAUUCCGUAGAAUGUUGUUCUCUAGUUUGUACUCGUUUUGUGCAAAAAUGCAGUUUUUUGACGCACCAUAAUCUGAUAUAUAUAAGUCCAAAAACACAUUUUGCUUCAAAAUAUGGAGCUCGAAUGGGAUAAAACGAGCAAAAAAUUAAGAAUAUUCCAUAUAAUCUAGAAGAUUCUACUAAAUUUGACACUGCUAUGAUGGACGUGUAAGAAGAUUUAUAGUUAAGGGAUUUUUUCGUAAUUUGACAUACCUCAGGGUCGUCUUGUAAUUUACCGAAUAAUAAUAAUAAUAUGCGAGAAAAUAGUACCUGCAUGUGAGAGAAGAAAAUGGCUAGGUGGGUGUCGCCGGAAAGUUUCUUUCACCACAGCUCCGAGGUACGUCAUUUUCUCGACGUCACUUUCCGUCACCGGCCCAUCUUUUCCGACGCAGUCCACCACCUCGUUGUACAGUUUCUCCUGGAUUUCUUGAUUCAGCACCAAAUGCAGUAGGGCCCACUCGAGCGUGGUGGCGCUGGUGUCGGUGCCGGCGUUAAUCGUCUCCGAGCACAGCGUAAUUAUCUCUUCCUCCCCAAGCUUCCCUCUCCCCGGCGGCUCCAGCCCGAACAACGAGUCUAUAUAAGCCGCGCCGAACGGGCUGGCCAUCUCCGCCGCCGUCGAGCUAGCGUCGCCUCCGCUCUCCACGAAGGCCCGCCUGUCUCGCAGCAGCGGCACCAGGCAAUCCAGCUGCCGCCUCCUCAGCUCCCUCGCCUCCUUCACCUGGCGGCGGAACAGCGGCGUGAGCACCGGCAGGAAGUCCGGCAGCUUCGGCAGCGUCAUUAUCAUCACAUCUUUCAACACGCUCUCGAUAACUUUGAUUUUUUCUUCAGAAACUUUCACACCAAAACACAAGCAGAUAAGAAUACUGCAAAUCGUGAGCCGACAGUUGCUCAUAACUUCAACGUAGCCGAGCCGAGAACUCUCCUCCCUGAGCCGGCUCAUGUGGUUCUCCAUCGCCCACUUCCGUAUCCAGCUGCACUGCUUGAUCCUCGCCGGGUUUAUCAGCUCCGUCACGAAGUUGCGGCGGAGGGACCGCCACAGCGGGCCGUACUCCGCCGAGUUGAUGGCGCACUUCCCCACGCUGAAUAUGAGCCGGAUGGGCGAGUCGGCUGGCCGGCUCGCGAACAGCGCGCCCUUCUGCACCAGCGCCUCGUGGAUCAGCUCCGAGCUGGUGAUUAUCACUAACGUGCGCUGCCCCAUCUGCAUGGUGAAAAUGGGCCCGUAUUUUUCGCGCAAGUCGCGCACGACGAAUAUGAAUGGCCGGCGCUGGAGAAUGACCUGGAAUAAGUUUCCAACGACCGGCCACCCGGGAGGCCCCGGCGGGAGGUUCUUCGACCCCCCGCCGGUGGUCGAACAGUGCCGCCACCACAUGCGGAGGAAGAAGGCCGCCAAGCAUAGUACUACAAUGUCUAUCAACUCCAUUAUUUUUUUUUUAAUUUUUCUUUAAUUUAAUUUUGUUUUUCCCUUGUGGGAGGUUGGGAGUAUUGACCAAUUGGAAGUGAUGUUGAAUGAGUUAGCUAUUGGGGGUUAUAAAGGAAAAAAAUUAUUGGAGGUGGGUGAAAUGCUUUUAAUUUAACUUUCCAAGUUGAUGUAUUAAUUAAAUUACUUGGUCACACAUAUAUAUAUAGAGAGAGAGAGAGAGAGAGAGAGAGAGAGAGAGAGAGAGAGAGAGAGAGAGAGAGAGAGAGAGAGAAUGACGUAGGGUAAGAAAUUGGCAUACACAAGAAAAUUGAUUUUGUUACCCUAGGUUUAAUUACCGGCAAUUGUCCAUGUGGGUGAACCUCGGGUAUUGACAGCCCACAAUCGAAGAACUUGGGCGAUUGUAAAUGUUGAAUGCAUGAUGGGCUACUAUUUGCCUUUUUUUUUUACACUAAUUAUUUUUAGGACAACUGAUAGCGCACGAGGUUCUACAAGUUAUAUCGAAGUCAAGGUCAUGAACUAGAGUAAUUGUUGAGGGGGGGUUUCUCAUGUUAGCCUAGAUUUGGAUGCAAUUGUCCACGUGGGAGAGAUCGGAGUAUAAACGGUCAACACAAUCGAAUAUCGUGAGCGCUAGCAUGUACUAAAUGAACACCGAUUGAUUUCAGAACAACUAGUAGCGAUUAUGUCCUACAAAUUUGAUUAUAACUCAUAUAUUCAAGUUCAUCGAUCUCAAUUAAUUAUGAGAGCCAACAAUAUUUUCCCUUAUAACGCGUGCAACAAUUUGUCGAUCGCAACCGUACUAGAACACUAGUUUGGGUAAUUUGAAACAUCUAUGUAUAUAUAUGGUCCAAAUUUCCCAUUUGGUCCCCCUCCAACUAGUGACAUUAUGAACCUAACUACACAUAUAUGUGACAUAUAAUAUAAGUAAAUUAUUUAAUUGCUACUAUAUUAAGAAGAGAAGUAGGCAUUGAAUUUUCUUUUUUUUCUUUUUUUUUUUUUUUUUCGUUAUUUUUCUUUUUGGUGUGUUUUGUCGGACUGUUGCUAGAUCUUAUAAAUAUCGUAGCACAUAUUUUUUUUUUGGGAUAUAAAUUAUUUAUUUAAUUUAGGGGUGAAAAUUGUAAUGAAUUCUCGAAUUCCGCAUAUUUCGAUCUGAAUAUUUCUAAUUUUAGAACAAUAUGUUAUUCUUCCCGAAUUCCAAAAGUCACGAUUUCUAUCUUUUUUUGGUUUUUUUGGUAUUGGAUUGGAUUAUAUUUUACUUUCAGGAUUGUGAUCCGAACUUUUUUAAUUUUUCGAAAGUUAUAUAUAAAGAAAUUAAAAACUAACUGUAAAAAAUUCCGUAGAUUUCUAUUCAAAAAAUUCCAAUUUUGGAAUAAUGUUUUUCAUUCCAAUAUUCAAAUUUCCGAUUUUAGAUUUUCUCAAAACAUUUCGGAGCAGAAGUGGAACUAGUUUUUCACCUCCGGAAAAAUCGUAAUUAUUUCUUCAAUGGUUGUUGGUGAUUACCAUUAUAUUUAUAUCCAUUUCAUAACUAAGACAAUAUGGCCACGAACGACAAUGACUUUUUUAAUUAUAAAUAAAUAGAUUAAUGAAUAAAGGAAUGUUUCCAAAUUUUAGUCAUGUCACUAAUUAAUUUUUCGACCUAAUUCAAUACAAUAUUGGAAAUCGACAAAUAAUGAAACAAAUUCCUUUUUUAAGUGACAGUUAUUAUGAAACAAAGAGAGUAUAUUAUAUUUAAUACUUCGCAUAUUUGCAGUAUUUUUCAAGUAAAAAUUACCCAACACAAAAUCGAUGAAAAAGCGCGUUGUAUUCGUAGUAUACUCGAUCCUAUUGGUCAAGUAUAUUUAUCUACUGCAUUUAAUAGCAGGAUUAAAUUCGAGUUGCUCGAUAUCUCUACCAUCCCAGAAAAUGCAGUUGUCUGGCGCUGACAAUUAAUAACUUGUAAUAAUCCGAUGGAUACUAUAAUUCAAUUGUUUGUGUAUGUAAAAUUAAAUAAAUUAAAUUCAACUUAGGUGGUUGAGUAUAUGAGAUAUCUUGGUGAAUUGUCAGAUAAAUUAAUUAUUACAUGUGAGUUUUAUUUUAUUUUUUAAUAAAAUAAAUAAAUAAAAAGAAUCAUAUAUAGUUCUUUUGUACCUGCACCCGCCAUGCCUCUCAUGCAGGUUAAUUACUUUUUUUUUUGAUUAAUUAAUACAAACUCAAUUUGUCCACAAAUAUUCGUUUGAUUAAAUCUGGUCAUACGGGACUAGCAGAAUUCUAUUAAUUUAUCGAAAUAAUAAUUUAGUAGGUUUUUACCGAACCAGGACCAAAAGAAACUACUUCAUCCGUUCCACUUUUAAUUUUCAAUAUUUUAUUAAUUACUUAAUUUCGAGUUUAUAUGAUUUUCGACUCAUUCCAACAAUUUAUGAUACUAAUUUUAAGCCGCCAACAACAAUUGGAGAAAACUAAGACUCGUGAAAAUAUUUGCAGUGCAUUUAAACCCUAAUAAUAUUGUGGUAGCUGGUUGGUUGGAAGGUCUGCAGAGUAUUCAGUGAAAUUAAAUACAAAUUCAUACCAUAAAUAAAAUAGAAAAAAAAAAAAGCACUACACUUUACAGUAAAUUUUGGUUUGGCAUUUAUAAAAUAUCUAUAUCUAGUGGACACAAUUUUUAGGUCUAGAUUUUUAUUUUCAAAUAUUAAUAAUUUAUUCAAAUAUUAAAUAAUAAAUAGUAAUGUCAUUAUAUAUAUCGUUCUACAUCAACUUUAAGUAUAUAUAUAUAUAUAUAUAUAUAUAUAUAUAUAUAUAUAUAUAUAUAUAUAUAUAUUCGCGAUAUAUCGUGUAUGAUGCUCUACCGUUUAUGUAAUUUAAGGUAUGGAAUAAAAGCACAACCCUAGCUAUAAAUAUUGAGCUUUUGUUAGAGAAGAACAUCUCAACAACUUAUUCAUGAUUAUAAAUGAAUGAUUUUUUUCGUACUAGUUUUUUAUUUUUAUUUUUUCUCUGGAAAAAUAAUAAUAAUAAUAAUAAUAAUAAACUCAACUACUUGGGCGUUAAUAAUAGGCCUUACUACCUUAGUGAAAUGGGCCUUUCGUCAUUUACAAUAACUAAUAGAGCCCAAUAGUAAAUUGGGAGUCCAACUAAUAUAGCCUAAUAAGCAUAUAUACAUAUGGAUCUGUGUGUGAUUAUGUGUAGAUUUACGGUCGAAUGUCACUCAGUGUAAAUAAUUAAACGUAACAUCUAACUACCCAAGCUCGUAAACACCGCAAUUAUGGUGUGGAACUUGUUAUAUUUUAUCCUAUUUUCAUUUUACUUAAUUCAAAAUCAAAGGUUAAACUUGGUUCGAUUAGGUCUUAAUUGCGGUUAUUAUUUUUCAUUUUCUUUUCUUUUAUAUAUUUAUAUUUAUAUAUAGAUUUGGUUCGAUUAACUCAUUAAUGGAUAAUUAGUUAAACCCUUGCUAAAAAAUUUAGGGUAAAUUAUGAAAAACCCCUAAACUUAGGUUAAAUAACAAAAAAACGCACUCACCUAUUCGUAAUUAUCAAAAUCUCCAUCUGACUAACUGUUGACCGAGAUUUUUAAUAGAAAAUGUGUAUAAUCUAUUAUACAUUCAGUUAAAUAGGUAAAAAUAAAAGAAAAUAUCCGUUUGUGGAAAGUCGAUUCCUAUUUCCUUGAAAUAAAAAAAAGAAGAUUCCAUGAAAAGUCACAGGGGUUGGUGCAAGACGGACACAAAAAUCAGGGAGUUUGGGUAAUUACGAAAAAGUGGAGGUGAUUUUCGUAAUUUAACCUAAGUUCAGGAGGGCUUUCGUAAUUUACCCAAAAAAUUAUAGGGUAAGGGAGCGACUUCUUUUUCAAAAUUGGCAUAGAAGCGCAUUUUGUUUAACUGCCAAAAUUGUAUGUGAUAAAAUCCGGCCAUCCGUACAACGGCCGACAACGGCGAUGGGCGCCACCGCCGCCUUCUCUUCAAUCCUCACCGGGAGUAUUGUAUCCUCUCUCUUAUCCGCCUCCACUUGCCGCCGGAACUUCUUCAUUCCAAUCAACCUCGCGCGCACGUUAGCCUCCACGCAAUCCUCUUUCAGGCAUAUUCACAAACACCACAUCUGCAACGCCGCACACAGAAACCGAAGCUGCGAAUCCACUGCGUCCGCAUAUGUUAGUACGGAUUCGUCAAUUUCCACCUCUAAUAAUAAUAGGUACUUCGAUUUCCUGUAUGUAUAUAACUGAUUAUGCAACUCUGAAUUUGUUCUACAUAGUUAGUUUGUUGGUACAGGUUACUUCAAUAGAUUGUAGCAUGUUAGCAGAAAAAUCAAAAAUCUCAAAAAAAAAACUGAAAUUCAGUGUUAUUGUCAAAUAAUUUGAGGAUUGCAGCGAACCUAUUACUAAAUAUUACGAAAACAUAGAGUUCCUGCUUAGGUAGUAUCGGAUUAUCUGGUAAAUAAUACGAACAAUGUCAUUCUCUAAUUAUCUAUGCUUCAAAGACCAACUGAAUUCUGUAAUUUAUGGAAAAAAAAAUGAUUAGGGAAUUGAAAAAUGAAGUUUCUCGUAAGAUUGUUUGAAAAGUAUCAGUCAUUUUGCUUUGAUAUGAGAUGCCUGCGGUCUGUUUAACGACUCGACUUUUUUUUUGUUAUUUUACCAAAUACUUGCUUAACCGAUAACUAUUUCUUUCAGCUAUCCUCCAUACGGACGAUUACUUCCUUGCCCCUCCCAGAAUGGACCUCCAAGGGUAGAACACUUUGUUGUUACAGAAGGAGGACCCGUUCUCGAUUAUAUCAGCAAGUCAUUAAAUAUUCCAUCUCCGUGAGUUUUGUUAUUCCUUCACCAUUUUCACUCGAAUUCUGUCUUGACAUGUGAUUAUGAUAGUACAAUUAGGUUGAGUUUGUUUCCUAUUUUUUAAGAUUUGUUGCAGAUCUCAUUCAUUUUGGAGCAGUAUUUUACGCUCUUGUAUGCCCAGACCCUCCUCCAACUGCUACACCUGAGCAAAUCAAUUUUUUUAAAGAAUAUACUGACCCAUCCCUGCUAAGGAAAAGAUCGUCGAUAAAAGGGAAGACAUUCCGAGAAGCUCAAAAGACUUUUCGAAUAUCUCGCACUGAUGAGUUUGUCGAAACUGGGACAUACUUGCGGGUGCAUGUACACCCAAAACGGUUUCCAAGGUAUUCAUCGGAUUUGUUUUUGACUUACGCCUUGCUUAUUUUGGUUUUACACGAUAUGUGAAUCUUGUACUUAUAAUAUAUCUUCUCUGAUCAGGUGUUACGAAACUGACUGGAGAUCUCGAGUUAUUGCUGUGGCUGAAAGUUAUGUUGUUUUGGACAAGCCUGCGGGUACAUCAGUACGUGGUUGAUCUUUUUUAAUUUUAUGAUGAUCACAUUAUGCCCUAGUUGUAUAGCUUAUAUAGUUAUAUGUCGCUGAAAAGGCUAAAUGAAUUUUCUUUUCAUUGCUUAAUGACGAGAGUUUUGUUGUUUUUAAUUAUUGUUUCCUUGAGAAUGUAAUGUGAGCAAUUUUGUCAACAUGUGUUAACUUUAUCAGGUUGGAGGCACCACAGACAACAUCGAAGAAAGUUGUGUAACAUUUACGACUCGUGCCUUGGGAUUAGAGGCUCCAUUGAUCACUACCCACCAGAUUGAUAACUGUACCGAGGGAUGGUGAGUCAAAAAUAUCAUAACUAUAUCGGAUAUGCAGCAAUAGAAGCAGAGUGUUAACUGUCCAUUAUUUACUUACAGUGUAGUAUUGGCAAGAACAAAGGAGUACUGCUCAGUUUUUCAUGGGAAAAUAAGGGUUAGUGACAUAUAUAUCUUUCUCUCGCUAAAGUGAUAAGAAUACGAUUUAAGAGGGCACUCAAUUUUUCGGAUUUUUACGAACUGAAGAUCACAAACAUUAAUUUGUCUUUAAUUUGUAUAUAUGGUCGUUCAGGAGAAAAAGGUUAAGAAGCUUUAUCUCGCGCUUGCUGCAGCUCCCGUAUCAAUUGGAGUAAUUACCCACUAUAUGCGUCCGGUUAAUAUUGCACCUCGACUGGUUUCUGAAGGUAACUUCAUUUUUUUUUUGUGACGUCUUAUUGUAAGAAUUUAAUCCCUUAUUUUUCCACUAUAAUGCAUGAGAAAAAAAAAAAAACUAUGGUUUGGGUGCAUGCAGAUUUAGUCAAUGGGUGGCACUUAUGCCAACUCGAGGUCUUGGAAUGCAGGAAGAUUCCCUGGCCAAGUAGUAUAGCUGAAGAGAAGAACAGAGUUGAGGAUUGUGGAUGGCCUAGCAAAGACUUUGCAUACGAGUGUAAAGUCAACCUUUUGACUGGUCGGACACAUCAGGUAUUUAAUCGGUACCCGAAAAAUUUGACAUCUAUCAAAUCUAGUCACGAUUCCCAAACAUGACCUUAGAGGAUAAAUUUUUCGUUCCAUAUUUUAAUUUUUCUUUUAUUGAACUGCAGAUUCGGGCACAAUUUGCUGCUUGUGGGGCUCCUCUAGUGGGCGACUCAAUGUACAUGCCAGCUGCCAUUGCUGAGGUGGACAGACCUGAACUGAACCCAUUUGGCAAGAACAAGAAAGAGUACGCGAGUGAUGAUAUUAAAGCAGUAGCUGUUGAAGAAUGGAUUGCACGGCAUGGGAAAGAACCUAUUGUUGCCAUUGGUCUUCAAGCAUGCAAGAUCUCGUGGGAUAGUGAUGAAGAGCAGCACAGCUAUGAAGCUGGUCGUCCAUGGUGGAGGUGAAUACAGCUUACAUAGCUGUGUGUACUGUGUGCAAGAUUAGUCGAAAAGUUGUGUCAGACUUUUUUACAUCAAAGGUAAAUUUCUUGAAUUCUUAUAACCUUGUUAAGAAGUUAUGAGUAAAUCUUUUAUAUUUGCCUUCAUUGAUUCAGAGAUCUUGAAACUCAUCAGCGAAAAGUCAACAGAAUAUAUAUCUGAGGCCAGUGGUAUUCGGCCAGGCCUGUUCGAACAUAGCAUAACAAGGAAGGUAAUUUUAGAUGAAUUAUUUCUUGAGUAAUUAUGAAUUAACAUCUUUUUUUGCUAUAUAUUUGGCUGUAAAAACUAUUAAAAUUAUAUAUUAUACGAUUUUAUGAAUUAACAAUUUCAGAUAUUUUUUGGCAAAAAACACGAGCUAUAUAGUAUACGUAGUAUACGAUUUUUUUGUAAUUAUGAUCGACUAGUAAAAAAUUAGUUCAACUUAUUUAGACGAACCAUUUCUAGACUGAUUAUGAAUUAACAUAUUCGUUGCAAUAUAUUGACGGUGAAAAACUAUUAAAAUAACAUAUGACCAUUUUCCGCUAUUUUUGGCAAAAAUUGUGAGCUAUAGUAUACAUUUUUUUGUGAUUUUGCUCGAGUGGUAAAAAAGUAACGAAACCAAUUUUAGAUGAAUUAUUGGUUGAUUAAUUAUGAAUUAACAUCUUCAUUACAAUAUAUUUGACAAUGAAAAAUUAUUGAAAUAACAGACGACCAUUUUAGUCAUUUUUAUCAGAAAAAACGUGAGGUAUAGCAUACGGUUUUCUAUGAUUUUGGUCGAGUAAAAAAAUAGUAAAUAAAUAUAUAGAUAUUAUACAGUAGAUUGUUUUUUUGAAUUGGUAGUGGACUCUCGCCCCUUGUCUCAAGCCACAAUCGAUAACUUCCUUAUCCAACUUGUUAUACUCGUUUAUUAUUUUUAUCCAUAUUUAAAAAAAAAAAAAAAAAAAAAAAACAAACUAAAAUUAACCGACAAAGUAUCGAACCGUACAUAUUUAGCUCAACUCAUUAUAUAUUUCCAACCACCGUUGUAAAUUCUGAAUUUAACAAGAAAAAAUAUAUUGUGCAAAAGAGUUGUUCAUGAGGGGGUAGCAGCAUUUAGUCUUGUCCGAAGCUUUUUAGUUAUGUAGGCGAGUUUUUAAUGCUACUCCUUUUUUUUGUGUACAGUGAGAAUUUAAUUCUCAGCUAGCUUUACUGCCAGAUGAUAUCAAUCAUGACCUAAUUUUGCAGUUGUCGUUCAAUAUCGGUUGAAGUAAGACGAGUCGAUUCGAAUCGGAAUUAGCACUUUCGAAAAACAAAAUCCAAUUUUGUUUUCGAGAGUGAAUGAUUGAUUCCAAUUAUGUUUCAAAGUCGGAAUAAAAAAUCUGUAGUUGGAUUAAUAAAAUAAUUUGUUCCAAAAUCGAGAAUAUUCAGAUGGAAACCGACAUAAUUUGGAAUUUCAUUCUUAGUCAAUUAUAUUAUAAAAUUCAUAAUAAUAUUUAGGGCAAAUUACGGCUACCCCUUUAGGUAUGGCCAAAUUAUGAAAAAAAAACCCUCUUAUUUGGGUAAUUACAGCCUGCCCCCUCCAGUUAGAUAUUUUUACAUAAAAUUUAUGUAAUUAUGUUAUUUACCGAACCAAAUCGUAUAUUCAGUUCGGUAAAUGGUAUGAAAUGUUGGCGUAUCGAAAUUUCGGUUCAGUUUUACCGAUUUAACGUCACUAAAUUUACCUCUGGAGGGGUAUUUUCGUAAGAUAAUACAUAGUUGAAAGGGGUGGCUGUAAUUACCCAAACAAGAGGAGUUUUUUUUUCAUAAUUUAACCAUAACUCAUGGAGUGGCCGGAAAACAAAGGAAGCUUUGGAAAUACUUUUAAAACUAAAUUUGUAUCGAAAAUGGGAAAUCGGAAAUUAAUCAGAAUAGUCAGAAUUUAGAAUGAGUAACAUUGCUCCAUAAUUAGAACCUUUUUUUUAACGGAAUCAAACGAAAUUCGAAAGUUCUGUUCCAAUUUCCACUCGUUUAUAUAAUAGCAACGUCUCCUCCCAACAUUUUCAGACAUGAUCAGUCUAGUAUAAAUAGCAAAGUUAAAAGUAAAAACACUGAAUUAAAUUAACAAAAUACAGCAGUAAAUUAAACAAGGGGAAUCACUACUGUUUCGUUAGAACGAACAAACGAAAGAUUUGAUCAACAUCCAUGCAUUGUCUGGUAACUACUUAAAACCUCAUUCAAAUCUCCGAAAAACUUCGACAUAAAAUUAAAAAUAAAAUAAAAAACAUAAAUACGAGAGAAUCUCUUACGAUGUUGUUAAAAACAAAAAAGGUAUCUGUUUACUUAAUAAAGAGAUAUUUAGUAGGCAGAGUCAAUACCCGAACCAAUUACCCUUGCAGUCUGGUGAAAAUCGUCGCUUUAGUCGUAAUAAUUCAUAAUAAACACCACCCGGCAAGGAUUAAUUCAAGGUGCGUUCUUGACUUCUUCGUUACUUCUUCCUCCGAUCCUCACUGCCAAAAAAAAAUUUAAAUUAAAUAAACGAGAAGCUAUUUAUCGAUGAAUUUAUGUCUGAAAAGUCAAGCAAAUAUAUCCUGGAUUAUUUAGUUAUAUUUAGUAAAGCAGCUUAUUUUAAGAGAAGUAGAAACAUACGAGAUUGGGGUUUAGAGAAAUUAAUUACCAUGCAUUAAGCACCAUCACACGAAACGGCACCUUUGAUCCUCUCCACGGUGCACUUAAUAAGGCUAUUAACAGUCGCCACCGAGCCAAGAGAAAGCUUAGCCGUUGGCACGGAAUCAACUAGUAUCUGAAACGCAACCGUCAAUAGGGACCCACCGUUUCCAACAUCGGGCCCACCACUACCACCUUCAUCGUUAUUGUUAUUGUUUUUAAUAAUAUUAUUGUUGUUUUCAGGUCCAUCAGGUAGUAUAGCAAAACCAGACGGCAAAAGCGCCACGUAAUCGGGAUCUCCGCCGCUCAAAACCACGUUCAUGGCUAUGAUAUCCACCGGAGCGUACACCACGAACGAGCCGGUCGAAUCGGAGCAACUCUCUUGCAGUAUCAGCAUAUUGCUCUGGCUUGAAUUUGCACUCUGCAUGCAUACAUAUAUACAUAUAUAUAGCAAUUAAUAUCCUCGCAUACAUAUAUACAAAUAUAUAACACAUAGUGUUUUUCGACAAUUAGAGAAAAAAAGGGGUGCUAACUGCAAUAAACCAAAGAUAUAUAUACUGUAAUUCAGUUAGAAAAAAAAACAUGACAUAUAGUACAAAUAAAGUUGAUUUGAAAUGAGUUUCUCGAUUCUUACGUUAACACGAAGCAAAGAGACGGAGUUCCCGGGAUCGCGUCCAUUCGCAAUGUGCGCCAUUUCUUGAACUAAUCCACCAUUCGAGAGAAUAUCCCACUUUUUAUUUAAUCACAAGAAAAAAAAAGUUGAUUAAUUAUAUAAAUAAUCUUGACAAAGGUAACAAAAAGUUUUUUUUUUUUAAUAGUAAUGAUUUGAUAACAAGUUUAUAUAUAUACAUACCUCGCUUCGCGAGUUCUCGUCGCGAAGAAAAUCGAAAACGGUUUUAGGUGGGACCGGGAGCCAAAACGAGGUGGCAGCGCUAAGCACAAUGCCCGGUGGCCUGCCUGGAUCAUCCAUGCUCUUUCUUGUCAUAACCCUAACAUCAUCGGCCCCACUUCCAGACAACGUUGUCCACGUGUGCGCGGUGGACGCACCCACACCGGAGCAGAAGCUCAUCAGCAUUCUCUCCGCCAGCUUCAGCAUACUCUUUCUUCCUUUCGGUGAAGAUAUUACUGCACCAAUAUUUAAAUUUACAUGUCAUAUAAUAUAUACUAGUCUCUGAAAAUUAAUUAAUAAAUUCCCAAGACAUUAAUUAUAUUGUAUAUAUAUAUCUUGAUAUAAUAUAAUGUACCUCCAACAUCACCAGCUGCAAUGCUGUUAGCCAUAACGCUCGCAAGACGUUCGCACUGCCGAUCGAGCGUUGCCACCCAACGUUUAGCACCGAAAGCAAGACCUGAAUUUACGAGCGGUUUGUAGAUAUUAUGAACCGAUCUAUCGUCCACUUCCACAUGCUCAACCCAUGUAACCUAUUAUCAAGAAAAUACAUAUACAUUAACAAAUCAAAUUGAUUAAUUAUAUAUAUAUUAACCGAAAAUAUGAAUAAAUUAAUUCAAUUUAAAAAAAAAAAAAAAAAAAAGAGAAAAAAUAUGGUUAUUACCUUAGAGUAGCCAUUGGGCAAUUCUUGAAUGAGACAACCAGAAGGCCUUCUUCUGCAUCUAGAUACAGAAGUAGGUCUUAGGUUGUCCAACGAAACAUCGACAACUGCCCAAAUUCCUUCGCCGUGUUGUUUGCAGUAUCUUACAAAAUAGUUCUCUCGAGUCGGAACCAAUGGCGAAGGCACCUGAAACUCCGCGGUCAUCUACAAAAAAAAAAAAAGAUUUUUUUUAAUCAAGUAAUGCAAAGUAUGUAAUAAAAAAAAUAAAACCGUGUUAUAUUUUUUUUUCGAUUCCCUUACCACUUGUAAAGCUCCAUUGUAAUUGCCCGCCACCCCGGUCGACAACACUUCCAAAGUCAUUGCCCUAGACACAAUACUAGCAAACACAUUCGACCAUUGAUCCUACAAUAACAUAUGUAUAUAUAUCGAUAUUAAAAAUCGUACGACAUUUUUCGAACAAACCCUAAAAAAUAAACAACCAAUCAAUUAAAAACAAACAUACAUACCACAUCCAUGAGGAUUUCGACAAGGUUGACAUGAUUCAUAAUCACAACAGCCGACUCUCUAGAAGCUUCCGACUUAAACCCUAGCGGCUUCGGACCAAUGCCACGUGGGAAUGUCCGAACGUACUCUUCUUCACUCAAUAUCUCGACGGAGCUAUCACUGCUUGAAAUCCACAAAGGCUCCCCACUUUGAGCCAUUCUUAUCAACUCCUCCAUGGCUGCGACAGCUAGCUCGAUGAUCAUUGGCUUGUCCGCAUCGGUGGGGCCCGAUACUGACCUAAGAAGAUCCGCAGCUCCGUAAAUAUUUUCUCCCGGAAUAUUCCCACCUGUCUGUGUGCCGUAACUCCCCACUCCAAGAUCGAGCGAACGAGAUGAAGCGGAUGAAAGGUGUGGGUAUGACAGCAUUGGUUUUCCGACGUACUUUGCAGCUAUUCCCGAUAUCCUAUCAAUCUGCCACGUCAUCAUAGUACGUGUUUUUUUUUUGUUAGGACCAUGAUGUAAUAGAACAUUUAAUUAUAUAUAUGUUCACUAUAACAUAAAAACAAGAAAUAUUUUGGAGGAUUAAUUAGUAGCCCUAUAUAUUUACCUCUUCUCUCAAGCGAACGUUUUCGAUCCUGAGAUGCUGUUCGUCGAAAGACAUCUCUCCAAUGGCAGCAGGACCACCACAGUUUGGACAGGUGGCAUUAGUCAGAGCUUCUUUGUACCGUACAUUCUCCGCCCGUAGCUUCUCGUUCUCGUUGCGAAGGUUUGUGUUUUCAUGGCGCUCGUGUUGAGACUGAAAAUAAUAAUAACAAUAACAAUCACUAUUAUAUGAUUUAUUAUGCAUACAAACUUUACACAACAUUAAUUAAACCGAGGGAAAAUUGUAGUUUUGGUGCUCUAUGUUGUCCGAUUUCGUAUUUUAGUCCUCUAUAUUAUAAUGUUCUUUUUUUUCAAUUUACAUGCAAUAAGUUUCCCAAUUUAGUAUAUAAUUGGUUCUAUUUUGCAUGAUUUUUUUAAAAUUUUAGGGCAAAUUACCCACCCCUGAAUUAUGGUCAAAUUACGAAACCCCCUCUUAUUUGGGUAAUUACAGACACUCCCAUCCACUAUGUAUUAUCUUACGAAAAGACCUCUCCAGAGCUAAAUUUAGGGAUGUUAAUUCGGUAAAACCGAACCAAAAUUUUGAUACACCAUCAUUUCAUACUGUUCAUCGAAUUAAAUAUACGAUUUGGUUUAAAAAAUAACCGAAUUACAUAAAUUUUAUGUAAAAAUAUUUAAAAGAAGGAGUGGCUGUAACUACCCAAACAGUAGAGGGUUUUUACGUAAUUUUAACCAUAUACAUUCACUUAAAAAUUAUAAAUUUCAGUGAUUUUGUUACCUACAUUGUUAAACAAAGUGGGUAAAGACCAACAAUAAAUAUACUAUUUUUGCAUGUAAAAUGACAUAUUUGUCCCUGAGAAAAGAUACCUUCAUCUGGGUGCGUUUGUUCUGGAACCAGAACUUAAUCUGCAGAGGCUCUAACCCUAACCGGCGGCCAAGCUCCUUCCUCUGUUUAUCAUCAGGGUGUGGGCACUCUUUGAAAAACCUGUCAAAACAUUAUUUUUUUUUUUAUUAGGGCAAAGAAAAAAAAAAAUCAGACAGCUGGCAGAAGAUGUCCGUACGAUUCCAUUUCUUGGAUUUGGUGCUGGGUGUGGCGGUGGUAGCGCUUCUUCUUAGGGCGUUGAUUGGGGUCCUGGUCGUCGCCGGAGGUGGGCUCCAUUAUGUCGGUGCCGGAUUUGCUCUCGUACUCUUCGUCCCGGAUCAGGUGGUCCAUCUCAUUAUUUUCCGGCGGUUUGUGGCCGGCCAUUUCCAGCAGGUGGUGGUGGCUUUCGAACAUGUUCGGCUGAAACAUCUCUUCUUGCUUCUCUGUUUGUGUGUGUAUAUAUAUAUAUAUAUCUCCGACACGGUGAAAAAAGCUGGAAUUUUAGGUAACCUGAGAAUGAAGAAUUAAUCAACAAGUAUUAAAAAGAUAGAUAGAUACAUAGAUAGAUACAGUAAGUCAAUAACCAGUGUGAUAAAUUUAGACCUAAAAUCCAUGAUGUAAUAAAUUAAAUCCAAAGACGGUUCAGUUUUUUCUUUUUCUUUUUUUAAUUAACCAUGAGAAGACGAAAUGGUUGACUUUCUUGAAAAUAAUUAUUGUUAAAGAAUAAAAUGUCCUUAUAAUUAAUAAAAGUGUGAUAUGACAAGGAAAUUAAAUAGGGUUUGUUCAAAAGUUAUUUGUAUGUACAGUACUUGAAAAUAAAUCAAUGGUGGAAAUUAAUAAAAAAUAAAAAAAUUAAUAAAUGAUUUGCCCAUUUGUUCUCGAUUGAUGAGAUCAUGGUAAGUCUUAUCUACUAAUUAAACAGUAACGGAGUUUCUUAAACUCGCCGGAAUAUUCUGUACAAAAAAAAAAAAAAAAAAAAACCCUUCUUAAAAAUGGAAUCUCUGUCAGUAUCAGAGAAACAUAAAUCGGGUGGUUUACUUUACAUUUAAACAACAGACUAAUAACAAUGGAGUUUUGGUUUUCGUUUUAGGGUUUCAAACAAAGAAAUGAUGGUAUACAUAUUACAUAACAGAUAGAGAGAGAGAGAGAGAGAGAUGGAAUUAAUCAAAGAAGUUCAGCUGAAAUCUUUUUUUAUUGUUUCUCUCUCUAAAACAAAUUGAAGAGAGCAAAAUUCAGGAACUGAGAAACAAACUUACUGUAUGUUCUUGAAAAAUCUCGGACAGGAAGAAAACCCUACUUUUUGGUUGUUAUUACAGCGAAGGAAGAGAGAGAGAGAGAGAGCAGAUCUGGUUUAUAAAGAGGAGGAGAUAGAUUUGAAUAGAGAGUAAAAUAAAGGAGGUGGUUCUCAGGUUAAUUGCAGAUGGUGCCUUUCUUGUGAAUAGAAUUUAUGAAGGAAUGCUGGGAUGUGAGGGGAUGAGAGAGAGAGAGGUGAUAUAUGAGAGAGAAAGAAAGAGAGAGAGAGAGAGAUAUAGAGAGAGAAAGAGAGAUGAGAAGGGUGAAGAAGGAAAGAGGAACAGGUGGAGAAGAUGUGGCAGCGAAGGAGUUAUUACAGAGCGGGUGCGAUUGCAUUUAAUGGCGGGGAGAGGAAUAGAGAGAGAGAGAGAGAUGGUUUUUAUUGCUUAGGAGAGAGAAAGGGUUUUUAUUUAUUUAUUUAUUAUCAUUUUUUAUUUUUAUUUUUAAAUUUUAAAUAUUUUCAUGUUUCAUGCGGUGAAAGAACAUAGUAUUAUGGUCUCUCUCUUCCCCCACCCCCCAGCACACACACACACACACACUGAACUCAAUCCCCCACUGUAUUUUUUUUUUGUGUUUUUUUUUUUUUUGUAUUUUAUGUGAAGAAUAAAAUAUAAAUGCAGUUAACCGAAAAGUAUUAACAAAUUAUACGAAAUAACUAGGGAAUACGAUUAUACGACGUCUACGAGAAGUUGCGUAUCUACGGGUGUUCGGUGUAGAUACUACGAAUUAAUGGAACGGUUACAACAUUUCCGAAGCUCGAGAAAUUUAAUUAAUGUAUCGAGUGUAUUUAAAUGAAUACGGAAUUUAACCUUGAAAGUUUAUUUUCCCUCUUUUAUUCAUGUGUGUAAUAAUUUUAUUCGAGGCAAAAACGGGUUGUAUGUAUAAUUUGAAUAUCGAAAAAAUAAUUAUAAUAUUUUUCGAUUUUUUUUACUCGGUGUUAUCCGUUUGUAUAAAAUGGCAACGAAAUCGUAUUAUCGUGUAAACAACUCACAUUUUUCCUAAUGUGCUGAAAUUUAAUUUUCUUGCUAGUGAGCUGUUGCUGAUGAAAAUUUAUAUAUCAUCUAUAUAUAUAUAUAUAUAUAUAUAUAUAUAUAUAUAUAUAUAUAUAUAUAUAUAUAUAUAUAUAUAUAUAUAUAUAUAUAUAUAUAUAUAUAUAUAUAUAUAUAUAUAUAUAUAUAUAUAUAUAUAUAUAUAUAUAUAUAUAUAUAUAUAUAUUAAAUAAGCAGUAGUAGCCUUUAUUUAAUGCUGUGUUUAAAUAAUAUGGUGCAAUAUUGUUUGAGCAAACGAGGUCCCAUUCACUACGGUUGGUAGACAAACCCUUUAAAGAAUUAAUCCUUUGUAUUUAAUAUAUUUAUUAUGGUGCUGUUGUCAUGUGUAGAUAAAUAUAUGUCACCUUUUAUUUUAUUUUUUACGAAUAAUAAUUAACCAAAAUUAAAUGAUUAAAUAAACAUAGAAAAAAAUUAAUGAGAUUAAUUUUCUUGUCUCCUAAUCUUGUCACAUUGAUAUAGCAAAGUUGCAAGAGAUUACAAAGAUUACUUCCCACAUAUUUAAACUCUCAUUUUCUAUCUUUUUCUCUCGAUCGAUCUUUUGAUACGCGUGUUUAUAUGGUGCACGUGUGUGCGUUUCUUCUUAACUUCAACAAUUCAUCAUUCCUUAUUAUAUCUCGAAAAGGAAUCCUUCGAGAAGUUUUCCACUGUAUCCGAGGCUUUCAGCUAACUUUGAUCGGCGCCUUCCUCUCGUUCCACGUGUGGACUAAUCUUCCAACUCGUCGCGACUUUGAUUAGUCGAUCGAAAUUUAUAUGUCUCUUUGUUUUGCAAUAAUAAUAGCAUUUGGAAAUUAGUGUAAUAACUUGGAGCCAUGGACACUAGAUUCUUGCCUAAUUCUAUUAGCUCAACUUAUCAAUGCAAAAUUUAUAUCUAUGAAUUUGAGCUAUUAAUAUAAUUAAUAAUAUAGUUAAUAAUCAUUGAACAAUGAUUUUUAUUGAUAUUAUUGAGUCACUUAGCUUAUAAUUAUUAAAGUCAAAGUCUAGAUUAAUUAAUACGAGGUUGUGUUUUUUAUCAUGCAACUAAUUACUUUGGUCCCUCGCAAAUCCUACCAACAAAUUAAUAUAAAGAAUGAGUUUUUAUUAUGCAAUUAAUUAUUUCAAUCUAGCCUUUAAUUUAUAUUUAUUUAAUUUGUUGGAUUAUCAAACCAGUUUUCAUGUUGAUAUAAUUAUUCUUCUUUUAGGACAAUUAUUAAUGGUUCAGUUAAAUCGUUAUAUAUACACUUGAGAUACUGAAAUGGUCUAUUUAUUAAUCGAAUAAUAAAAAUUAAGAAAUAAAUAAAUAAAAAGGAUCCGACUUCAUGUUUUCUAAAAAAAAAAUUUAAUGAUAAAGGAACCUGCAGCCAACCAUAUAAAUUAUACUAAAAUUAUAACAUGGUUAACUUUUAAUAUAAAUUUAUAAAUCGAGAGUAUGUCUAACUCUGUCGACCGGCCAGUCGCGUUUUUUUAAAUUGUUUUCCAUUAUAUUUAUUUGACAAUAUAUAUGUUCCAUAAAAAAGAGCCCAUGAUAUAUAAGCCCAUAAAGAAGAAGGCCCGGCCCACCCGGCCCAUACAAAUGUGAAAACUAAUUGAAUGUGCAUGAAAUUCACUAAUAAAAACAAUUUAAAAAGUUAAUAACAAGAAAUCAAUCUACAAUAAAAAAGCAUAUAAAAAAAUUUAAUAAUUAAUAAUUAAAAAAAGAAAAUAAAGAAAAGAAAAGGCUCAAACAAACAAGUACUAUGUAGUCUACAUUUGUCUUCUAAUAUAAUGUAUCAGUUCUAAACAAGGUUAACUCUUCACAAGGCUGCCCUUCACCUUAAAAAAACCGUAUAUAUAUGCGAUAAAAUAAAACCACACGAAUUUUCUACGUUGCUCGAUGAAAAAAAUUGAAGAUUUCUGCGUAAGUAGAAAAACACGAGGACAUACUAAAGAACUUUUCGACGAGCAUGGGAGAUUUGAGUAGUUAUUAUUAAUAAUUAUGACACUUUAAUGUUGGAUGGUUUAGAAUCUUCCUCGAUGAAUUUGGAUUUCGAUUUUCCAUUUCUUGACGACCUUGAUGAGUAGGAAGCACCCGAUUUCGGAGAAGAAGACGACUUUGGUUUUUUUCUCUUCUCCUUUUUCUUGGUACGAUGAUGUUCUGUUGAGGGCAUCUCGGAUUCCGACUGCUGCCUCAUCGAUUGAUCGCCAAAAUCUUUUUCAUCAAAAAAAAAAAAAAAACACGAGUAAAUGUCAAAGGCGUGGAAUUUAUAAUAAAUUAGAUGAAUAUCGAUUUUGGUUGUUCGUCGUUCAAGAAUUCUUGUUUGGGCACUUCAUACCACCCAUACAUAGUUUUUUUUUUCAAUUCUUCGGUGCAAUUUGACUAAACAGUUCGAAAAUCCGAUAAUCCAUAUUUUAUUAUUGUGUUUUGAGAAAAUAAAAAAAUAAAAAAAAAAUAGAUGCAAAAAAAUAAAAAACCAACCUUGAGACGACCACGGAGAAAGAGCGGAACCAGAAUUACCGAUCGAAGUUGCUGCGUAAUCCUGUCCCGCUCUGAAUUCGUUCAUCUACAUUUUCAAAAAAAAAAUAAAAAAAUAAGCCAAUAAUUAUUUAAAAAACUAUAUAUUAAAAAAACAAAAAAAAUGGCCUUAUAAUAUGAAACGACAUGUACCCAAGUAGGUGCACCCCCGGAGGGACCUUCCCACCCGAUGUGUGCGACGUGCUUAACAUCCGUCGGACCUCCGAUUUCCAUUUCCAUUUCACGGUCCUUUACGACUAUAAUAAUAAAAAUUAAAUUAAAAAAAAAAAAAUGAUCAAUCAAUUUUCUAAAAAGAAGCUCAAGAUUUUGGAACAGGGGAUUUACCGAAUAUCUGAGAAAGAGUAUAUUUAAAUCCUUUGUAGAUUCCUUUCAUUUUUGUUCCCAUUAACGAAGAAGAUGUACGGCUACGAUCGAUCUGCUGCGGCGUACGACGAUAUGAAGCACAAUGUACAAGCAACCACCACCACCACCACCACCAAUCUGCCAAAGUAUUGCUCCUUUGCCUAUUUCAAAUACCAAAGUAUUUUAAUCUUUUUUCCUUCUCAUGUAAGAAAUUCUUGAAUUAAAAAAAGCUGAAGAUAAAAAUGUAUGAUUCUGUUUAUUUAAUUAUUAUUAUUAUUAUUAUUAUUAUUUUUUUUUUGCAUUUCCAUUUGCUUUCAAGAAGAAAAGAAUAAAGGGACCCCAAAAAAUGAAAUCCCUUUUUGCAUAGAGAGAGAGAGAGAGAGAGAGAGAGAGAGAGAGAGAGAGAGAGAGAGAGAGAGAUGAACCUUUUUUUCAAAUGAAAAGAGAGAAGAGAGAGAGGAGAUUCAAGAGAGAAGCAUCUUCUCCUCUCAUAAUGGCUAUGACGACGACGAAGAUUCCCAUACGUCUUCAAAUAUUGUUGCUGGUUUAUUACACAUGCUAAAAUAAAAAGGCAUGCAUGCAAAUCGAACGCAACGAAUUAAAUCAAGAACGAAACAAGAAUCCCGCGUAAAUAAUUAAUGAAAAAUAAAAAAAAAACGAGGUAACGUUGAAUAAAAUUUUUGGUUUUUGAGGUGGGAGAAGAAAAGAAAGAAAGACGACGAAGAAGAAGAAAAAAAAACAAAGAGAGAGCUGCGAAAACCACGAAAAUCUCCUAAAAAUAGGUGUUGGUUAUGUUAUUUGAAGGGCAGAAUUGACAAAGAAAUAAAAAAGAAAGUUCUGAGAAAAUGUUUGCAACAAGGCAAUAAAUAAAGAGUUGCUAAUCUUGUAAUUAAUUAAAAAAGAAAUAAAUAAAUUGCUUAAACAACAGAAAAAAUGCUGUUAAAGAGUCUUUAAAUGUGUUUAUACCAACACUUUAAGCUAAUUUAUUAAAGUUUGGUCCCUUUUGAAAUUUUAAUUUUCCCACUUCUCCCCAAAAUAAAAUUACUAUUAAAUCGGAUUUUCGAAAAAUAAAUAAAUUAUUUAUUCAUUAACAAAUAAUAAAAUAAACAAAAAAAUAACCAGAAACUAAUAUUCAACAUACCAACUGUCAGAAAUGAUCCAAUGAACAUGACUUUAUGUUUGUAAUGUGUUUAUGGCCAUCCAUAAUUUCCUACACAGAAUCUUUAAUUUAUUACAAAUGGGAUUUGUUUUUAUUAUUUUUAUAAUUCCAUGCGCAUGUCACCAUUUUGCUUAUAGAAUAAUUCGGUUGAUUGGCACUUUGCACCCUCCAAAUACAUUUAUUUGACACUUUGGAACCCUCAAAUUACUACUAAUUUGUCAAAGUGUACCCUUGGUAUCUUUUCGGCAUCAAUUUGAUCAGAAAAAUACAUUUUUAUCAACCUCUGGUAUAGUUUGCUUGUUUUUCUCAACCGUCAUUUUAAACAAGCAAACAAUACUGGAGGUUGAUAAAAAUGUAUUUUUAUUAUCAAAUCCAUGCCGGAAAGAUAUCGAGGGUGCAUUUUGCCAAAUUAGUAGUAAUUUAAGGGUGCAAAGUACAAAUUUUACAAUUUAAGGGUGCAAUGUGUCAAAUAUAAGUAUUUGGAGGGUGCAAAAGCCAAUUACCCGAAUAAUUCACAAUUAUACUUUAUUUACAAUCAUCAUUCGGUUUCUCUUUAUGUGGUUGCCAGUUAGGCCGACUAGCUUUUUGCAUAUGAUCACAUUCCAAUCUAUAUUUGUUUAAUUUUUGCAGUUUUUUUUUUUAUUAUUUUAUUUAUUUUAUUAUAAUUAAUUAAAUAAUUUAUUUUGUAAUCAAUGUUGUGACCACGUUUGGGGAUGUUGUUGCUUGUGAUGCAGCAUCUCUUAUAUUUCAUAUUACUGAAAAUGGAAAUUUUGCUCGUCAUUUUCGGACAAUUUCCACCCUUAACUGCUAAUAAUUAAUUAUUGGUCCUGACAUCUUCAAUUAUUCUUCGUUUAUUAUUAAUAAUAAUAAUUGGCACAUUUAUUUUUAAUUCAGGUAUCCUACCAAUAAAUCUUGGGAUAUAGUAUAAUAUUAACUUUAAUUCUUCUUUUUUCAAAAAAAAAAAAAAACUUUAAUUCUUCCCUUGUAAAUAUUAAUGUCAUCACUAUUUAUAUUUUACUCCACUCGUUUCUUUUUAGGUGUCGUUGAAGGUUAAUGUACGUCAAUUAAAAAAACAAUAAGAGGAAUAGGACCAAGUAUUAGUGGUGAACAAAUGGCCCACCCGACCCGCCACACGGCCCACUGGUUUCACGGGCCGAAUUUUGUUCAUCAGUACCAAGUAUGAGUGUCCUAAUCAUCUGGGCCUAGCUUUCUACUAUUAUAUGGAUUAAUUUUGGAGCAGUUUGUCACGUUUCAGGAAUUUUGGGGGAUCAUUUUGAAAUUGAAUUUCAGGAAUUUACUUCAACAAUUAUGGCAGAGAGGGCCUUGUGUCUUCAUUGGCUUUUCAAACUAAGCGUAAUAAAAGAGAGGCCAAAUUACCAAUGUUCCAGUCUACACAACAGCCACAGUAAAAACUGAUUUCAUCGUUUUUCGGAGUAGAUUUUAUAACAUUUAUCCCUGGAGGAAAUGCGUUCGAAUAUUUUCCACAAUUACAGGUCAAAGGCAAUCAAGAGAUCACCACUGCAGCUGAGCUUGAAUAUUUUGCAUCAAUAUAAUCAAAGUGUAUCGAAUGUUUGAGGGUUAGGAUUGAAAUCCGUGAUUAAACAUGGGGGGCUCGUAAUUCAAUCAAGCAUAUGAAUGAUAUUGAGACAAAACCUAGAUUUUCCGACUUGGAUCACUAAAGCUAGAAGAAGGAAAAAAAAAAAAUAGACGAACUUAAUAUCUCUCACAUGACUAGCUCUUAUGCUUCGCUUCUAUACCCUAACUCGUGGAAUAGAAUUUAAUCAUUUAUGGAUUUGUCACAUGAAGAGAAACGCGCUAUGCCACCGGAGAAAAAAACCUUAAUAGAUUACAUACAUUAGAUAAAGAAUACAUGCAUAGAGAAACUGGAAAUACCUGUGAGUCUCGGCCACAAAAUUAUGAAUCGUGUUUUAGGGUAAGACGAGUCUCUUGUAUUAAAACUAAUUUGAACGUAUUCAAAAGCACAAAACUCUCUUUUAUCACUACUACACGUUACAGUGACAAAUAUACCCGGAAUCUGAACUAACCAAGGGUACAUUACUCAGAUAUAGCCCGUAUAGGAAAACGACGAUACUCCACACUCUAAUUCUUAACCCCAGUCCUGGAUUUACUGCAAUUCAAGAACCUAACUAUAACUAUAGUUGCAAUCAUAAGUUUUUUAGAGCACUCUAAUUUCUGCCCAUAUAUACGGUGUUUUACAAGGCAACCAAAGGAAUAGAUCAAUUUACACGAUAAUCGUAUCCAACAUUCACUAAAGUCUAUAGUUUCUGAUUUCGCAACGUACCCUCUAACCCUACCGAUUAACUUCACUCGUACACUAUACAAUUGGUUAACAAUACCUAUGUACAGAACCAUACUUCCCCACAACGCAACGAAUAAUUCGCAUACAGCAUAAAUACAGUGCAACAAAAUUAACAUAGUAGAGAAUUGCAAGAUACCAACAAAUAAUUCAGUAUUGCAUAUAAGUAAGUCUCGCGAAAAAGAGAGAGAAAUAUCCAUUGAAGUAAAAAAGAAAAAAGCUCAAGUUAUGGCUAAGAGCUAUAUUUGUUGAGUGCAUACUACAAAUUAAGCUGGAUCAAAAUAAGUCUCACCUAAAAGGCAGAAACAGAGCAUCUUCAUACACGAUCACCAGCUCGAAGGCCAGUAUCCAUGAAUACCGUAGCCCGUUUUCCAGUUAUCCAAGAAAACGACUUUCUUGACAGCCCAAAAAGACACAAUCAGCAUCGAAAUCAUCAAAACUCGCUGCACGUUUCUGUUCUUCACUCUCACGAGCACGUGGGUUACGAAAGCUAGCAUUAGCCCAACAAUGGUGUACAAGAAACCGAUCGAGAACCCCUCUGCGCCCAAUUGCAUUCCCGAGCCCUGGUAGAAGAACACCAAUUUACUCGGAUCUUGCCUGUCCGCCAUGAACAUGGGCAUUUUCCUGAUUAUGUUGAACAUCGCACCGGAAACACUGAAGAAGUAGAUGAAGAUUGCCCCAGCCAUCCACAGGUUCUUCUCGUGGAAGAUGGUUUUUCCGGUGAGUAAUUUUUUGAUGAAGAACGGAGUCCAGAUCAGCACUACCGCGAGUAGGAAAAGGAUCUGCUUUCUGGAAACGGCGGGGGGGCGAUUGAUGGGGCCCACUGAGAGCUUGGUCCUCGAUUCGAUGAACUCGGCCAUUGAUUCGGCCAAUCGGGAGAAAUCGGAGGCGUCCAUUUGGAUUGAAUCGGUUUUGACAUCGGCGGCGGUGGGUGGGAUUAGGCGGAUGUGGGGGAGGGCGUUGACGGCGAAGAGGCCGAAGGAGGCCUGUGAUUCCUGGAAUUCGAUGUUGAAGAAGAAGAGUUGGGGGUUUCGAUUAGGGUUAGGGUUGUUGAUUUGGAAAGAGGAGGCGACUAGGGCGAAUUCGGAUUUGAGUUUGGGGAGGGCGAGCUCCGCUUUGGAGUGGAGCUGAGUGGCGUCGAAGAAGAUCAUGGAGUGGAACGGGCGGGGGGUGGGGAGGGAGAGGAUGCGGCGGAGGAGGGCGUCGUUGAGGUGGAUGACGCCGGUGGGUGACUGUGAUUGGAGGUUGGAGAGUUCGGAGACGACGGAGUCGGAGGAGAGGGAGGCGGCGAGGGUUGUGAGCAAGAGGAGGAGGCUGAUAGGGAGGAGGAGGAGGGCGGCGCCGCCGCCGAUAGGGGUUUGAGAAAUCGCCAUUGGUAGCGGCGGAGAUCUGUGUGCGGUGGUGUGGCUGUGCUGCAAAGCGAUGAAGACUUUUCUCUGGUCAGAUUUGGGAUUUGGACAAAUGGAUGCUGACUGUGAUUUCUUUUUAUGUGGUUCAGCCAAUAAUAUUAUGACACGUCAGAAUCAAUAACCUGGCUCUUUUUCUUGGUCUUCUAUUUGUUUUUUUUUCUACCUAUAAAAUUUAUUUGAAUUACAAUUAUUAUUUCUACUAUAUUUAUCAAAUACUUAGGGGAUUAUUAGCUUAAGUUCCUUAUAGACAUUUGUUGCUGCUUAAAGGACUGGCAAUAUUUCUCAUUUUACUAAAAGUCCUCUACUUCGAGGGCGUUAACAGACAAGUUUAUCCUUAGUGUACUUUUCGAUAGUAUCGUCUGAUCAAAAACAUAUUUUGAAAGUUCAGAACUUAAAAAUACAUGAAUAUACGUAUUCAAUAGCAAAGAGGACAUACGAAGAGAGCUUAGAACGACAUCGAAGAGAUUAUUUAAGAAGCUUAGACUGAGUAUUAUCAAUACAUGAAUAGAUGCAUCACUCCAUAGAGAAGUAUACACACAUGAAAACUAUACAGCAGUGACUACAAGGAGAGCUUAAUUACGAAGCUUAGACAUAAUUAUACACACAUGAAAACUAUACAAUGAAUAGUAUAAGGAGAGCUUAGUUACAAAGUUUAGUUAUGUUCAGUAGUUCUCUUCCAUGAAAUACUUACCUAAUUGCAACCAUCUCUCCCUCAUUCCUCUCAAAUCAUACCGCUAGUCAAAGUGAACCAACCAACUACUGUUCAUAUCCUCCAAAUGUGCAUAUAUGCUUUUCCGAUGACUAUUGUAUGUGAAUUUGCGUGUGUUUGUGUGUGUGUGUGUGUCAUUGUAUGUAUGAUAGUUGAUUUUUAUUCGAUGACGACGGCCAUAGAAGAAGACGUCGGUUGCGGCGUGAAGAUGACGGUUGCGGAGACGAUAUAUGGUUAAUGUGCUCGGGGAGAAAGAGAUGGGGUAACUCCGUCUUAAAAUGAUAGACGACUUUUAGCAAAUAGCCAAAAUCGGACCGUCUAGAUUCGAAAGGAUAUUAGUAAUGAAGGUUGUUCAUAAGUUAAUAUGUAUAGUAAGAGACAAAUCACAUAAUCACAAGCUAUGUAAGUAGAGAGAGAUCUUCUUGAAAUCAUGAACAAGGGGGGAAGGAACUACACAGAAGAUGGAAACAUUUCAAGCAAAAAUCUGCAAAUAAAUAGUACUUCAGUACUUCUAAUUAAAUAAAAGUCCCUAAUUAAAAUCCGAAUUCGAAAUAAUUAAUCCCCUCCUCUUAUUACAUUUUAUUCAAAUCUCAUUUUCUCGAGUCGACUCGGAAUCUAGGCCUCGACAACAUCAUCGGCCUCGGCCGAAGCCAAAACAAGCUCCGGUUGAGCUUCACUGUAAGAACCAUCCAAAGCAUGUGGUAAUCCCAAAGCCUUCAAUGCCAAGUGAGCUGCUUUCUGUCCCGAAAUCAUCAUCGCUCCAAAUGUGGGCCCCUAUAUAAAAUUAAAGUUAAUUAAUCACGAUUAAUGAAUUUUUAGUUUUGCAUACGCAUCAGAGAUUUCAUUAAAUCUGUCUUGAUUUUACGAAAAAAUAUAUAUUUUUAAACUAAAAGGUCAGAUAAUAUGAAACUGGAAAGAGUUGAUAUCAAUAGGGCAAAUUACGGCCACCCUUGAGGUACGCCAAAAUUACGAAAAAACCCCUCUUAUUUGGGUAAUUACAACCAGCUAUCUUUUUAAAUAUUUUUACAUAAAAUUUAUGAAAUUCGAUUAUUUAUCGAACCAAAUCGUAUAUUUAAUUUGGUAAACGACAUGAAAUGUUGGUGUACCGAAAUUUCGGUUUCUGUUUUACCGAAUUAACCUCCCUAAAUUUACCCAUAGAUUGGUCUUUUCGUAAGAUAAUACAUAUUGAAAAAGUGACUAUAAUUACCUAAACACGAUGGGGGUUUUCGUAAUUUAACCAUAACUCAGCGGUGGCCGUAAUUUGCUCAUAACGAUAUGAACUGGAAAUUACGUAAUUAAUGCAGUAUUGAAAAUUUAAAGUGACAGAUAAUAUGAAACGAAAUAUUUUAAAAAAGAGACAGAUAUUAUGGAAGAGAGGGAGUACCAUUCUUGGAGAGCCGUCAAUUUCGGCAACUUCCAUUCCGGUGACGAUCAUGCCGGGGACGAUCUCUCGGGUGAGCCUGACGAUGGCAUCCUCGGCGGUGUUCAUGUCGAGGGCCUUCAUCCCGGGGACGCUCUCGAUCAUUCCGAUGCUCCUAAGGCGCUUGACGCCGGUGGCGCCGAAGGGGCCGUCGUGGCCGCACGAGCUGACGACGAUCUUGGCCUCCAUGACGUUGGGGUCCAUGCACGACUGGGUGUGGUGGUUCUGGGCGACGAGGGCCCAGUUGGUGACGACGCCGGCGACUCGGCCGCCCUUGACGAUGAGAUCCUCGGCGGCGACGGCGUUGAAGAGCUUGACGUUGGGGCGGGCGAGGAGCUUGCUCAUGAUGGUGGAGGUGAAGAGGGCGGCGUGCUUGAUCACCACGUAGUGGUCCUGCUCGUCGUACUCGAUCUCGAGCUCGUCGAGGAACUUGUGGGCCGGCUUGCGGACCACCAUGGCGGAGAAGAGCUGGCCGCCGAGCCACGCGCCGCCGCCGGGGCUGACGGACUGCUCGAUGAUGGCGAUGUUGAUGUCGGGGUUCUUGCUGAGCUCGUAGGCGCAGGAGAGGCCGGCGGAUCCGGCGCCGACGACGACCACGUCGGUGUCGGCGUAGGUUAUCAUGUCCGUCAUGUAGCGGCGCGUCAUCUCACGCGCGACGAUGGAUUCCUUGAUGGGCUGGAAUUUGAAGUCGUCGAGGUUGUAGGGGGUGGAGGCCAUGGCGACGGCGAGGUUCUUGGGGGUGGAUUUGAUGGGCUGGGCGGCGCGUGUGGGCACGACGGCGGCGCCGUGGAAGGUGGACUUGUUGUCGAAGAAGGAGGUCUUGGUGAGGGAGGAUCUGAGGGUUGUAGCCAUGGCUGCCAUUGUUGCAGACUGGUUUUCUUUUC
rnacentral:lncRNA from 1 species